GCUAGGCAAAAGGCUUCUUCCACUCCUUCCAUCCCACACCAGGGAUCCAUCAGGGGUCUCUCUCCACUCCACCCUGAAGCCUUAGAUGGUCAGCAUUGUGAAGGGGAAAAGCAAAAAGCUGUCUCAGCCUUAACUGUGCCUAAAGAUAGGAAACAAUUGAUGGUAAGUCGUAUGGAUCGGAGAGCUUCGUCGAACGUUGAAGCUUUGAGGAGGCAAUCGUCUAGGUGGCUGGAGGCCUAGGGACCGGAGGGUUGCCCUUGCGUCCUUCAUCGAAUGAAGCACGUCGUUUGUGGUGGAGGCAAAAAGUUUUUCCCCCGUCAAAGGGAAGAUCUUCAAUGGUGCUCUGGACCUCUCGAGGAAAGAAGGAGGAGGAGAGCCAUGAACCCCGUCGCAUGACCACUGCUGUGGCGGUCGACCUUGCUGCAGUGUUAGCUACAUUGAGGGCCGCUUGGAGAGCGGUAUGUGAUAUGGUUUGUCCCUCGGAAACCAGAGCUGUGAAUUGUUGUUUCUUCUGCUCUGGGAUGUGAUCAAUAAAAUCCAUGAAUUUA